rnacentral:lncRNA from 1 species
CAACAGCGUGCUAGGCAACCUGGAGGUCUUAGGUUCGAGUAGCGUUACGCGCAAAAGAGUGCUUCUUUUUGUUGUACGCACGUGGGAAGGGCCGUACAGGAUUGAAACUCUACCAGCAAUAGGAGGAGUCGGCUGAGCGGUGGACUACUGCUAAGCAGUGGAGAGUUUGAAUUUGGCUAUGAAUUAAGGAGCUAAGGAAGGAAUUAAAAUUGGAAAAGGACUUUUGUGCCUAUUUAAGCACCCAUUCGGGCAUAAGCA